GGCUGUGGCUCAGUGGUGGAGUGCUCACCUAGCACGUGUAAGGACCUGGGUUCAAUCCUCAGCACCA
rnacentral:tRNA from 1 species